UGGCAUUUUUUGCGCAAAUUGGCUUCUCCAAUACUCAAAUCAAAAUAUAUGUAGAAUCUAGUUCAAACUUAGUGUUGACAAGUAUUGUUAUGCCCCAAAAUCAAGACAUAAUACAGCUAUGUUAUCAAGAGAUAUAAUCCACGAUAAUAUGAAGCCAAUCAAUCGUAUUCAGCUAAAAGCCAUUCCAAAUAAAAUAUAUUGAAAAGGUUCAAUUCCAUC
rnacentral:lncRNA from 1 species